AUUGAACGCUGGCGGCAUGCCUUACACAUGCAAGUCGAACGGCAGCAUAGAGAGCUUGCUCUCUGAUGGCGAGUGGCGAACGGGUGAGUAAAGCAUCGGAACGUACCGUGUAGUGGGGAUAACGUAGCGAAAGUUACGCUAAUACCGCAUACGCACUGAGGUGGAAAGCAGGGGAUCGCAAGACCUUGCGCUAUACGAGCGGCCGAUGUCAGAUUAGCUAGUUGGUAGGGUAAAGGCCUACCAAGGCGACGAUCUGUAGCGGGUCUGAGAGGAUGAUCCGCCACACUGGAACUGAGACACGGCCCAGACUCCUACGGGAGGCAGCAGUGGGGAAUUUUGGACAAUGGGGGCAACCCUGAUCCAGCCAUGCCGCGUGAGUGAAGAAGGCCUUCGGGUUGUAAAGCUCUUUCGGCCGGGAAGAAAUCGCACAGGCUAAUACUCUGUGUGGAUGACGGUACCGGCAUAAGAAGCACCGGCUAACUACGUGCCAGCAGCCGCCGCGG
rnacentral:rRNA from 1 species